CCUUCGGGAGGCUGCAGUGGGGAAUAUUGGACAAUGGGGGCAACCCUGAUCCAGCCAUGCCGCGUGUGUGAAGAAGGCCCUCGGGUUGUAAAGCACUUUCAGUGAGGAAGAACGCCUGGUGGUUAAUACCCAUCAGGAAAGACAUCACUCACAGAAGAAGCAACGGCUAACCCCGUGCCAGCAGCCGCGGUAAUACGGAGGGUGCGAGCGUUAAUCGGAAUUACUGGGCGUAAAGCGCGCGUAGGUGGCUUGAUAAGCCGGUUGUGAAAGCCCCGGGCUCAACCUGGGAACGGCAUCCGGAACUGUCAAGCUAGGGUGCAGGAGAGGAAGGUAGAAUUCCCGGUGUAGCGGUGAAAUGCGUAGAGAUCGGGAGGAAUACCAGUGGCGAAGGCGGCCUUCUGGACUGACACUGACACUGAGGUGCGAAAGCGUGGGUAGCAAACAGGAUUAGAUACCCUAGUAGUC
rnacentral:rRNA from 1 species